rnacentral:lncRNA from 1 species
AUUUACUUCCUUACUAAAGGACUUAAUGAUCCAGGGAGGAAGCUAGUCUAGAGAGAAGCAGAAAAUCAAAUAAAUAAGGUAUAGAGCACCCUACAUACCUUGCUCAGAGAGAGGCAAAGACAAGUGCUGUUGAGGUACCGGUUCAACCAAGUGCCCAAGCAGCAACAAUAACUUAAAUACGGCGGAAGACAUCUAUUUCACCCGUGCCCAGAAAAGAAUCUUACAUUAAGUCCAAAGAUCCGGGGUAGGGAUGAUUGACACGUUGAUUUUAGUACCCCUUAAAUGAUAGGGUAGGUUCGUAUGUUUUUGUGAAAGCUCGGCUCCUGUUAUUGCUGAUGUCCAGUCAUCCACAUUUGAAUUCCUUGGAAAAGAAGGCUAACUGCUUGUUGGCUGGGAGCGAGCGGUAAGUCCAUUAGUUCGAUGAUUCUUCUUCGCCUUUAUUUAGAAGGCUUGUUCAAUAAAUCUCCUAAACAAACAGUAGGAAUUUGCUAAUCAAACGACCUAACUUAUUGUUUUGUUCACGCUCUAAGGAAGUGACUUGUUCAGCCUCUGCUGUUCUUGUUUACGACUCUACUGCUAUUGAUUAAUCCGCUGGGAUUGGAAUGCUUGACUUGCUUUCAAAGCCUUUCUAGGCUAACUCUUAACUAAGUCAAGUCCCAACAACGGCUAGCGAAGAAACUGUAGGGCUUAAGGCAGCGAAUGACCUGAGGGUAGGCAACUCAAUAGAAUAAUUAAGCAGCCUAACAGGAUUGGUGAAACUGGAUUGGUUGGAUGCUUUUCCUUGCUCUCUACUUUCCUAAGCCUGCUCACUGACUUCACUUGCUAGCUAGAAAAAGAUGCGAAGAGCCUGCUCUCAUUUGUUUAAAAUACAACUCCGGGGGCGAAGUCAUCUUAAUAGUCAAAGAGCCUGGGACUGAUGUAAAGGCUUUCAAAUGCUACAGCCUAGAGAUAAAAGAAAAUGAUAUAAGGGAAGGAAGAAAUCUACCUAUUCUCUUUUUUUACCUACCUUGGAAUUAUCCUUAGCCCUCCUAGAGAAACUAUUACCUCCUCGAGUACGAGCGCGAGUAAGAUAUUGAACGUCCCUCGUAUGGAUCGACAUGAAAUGAAAGAGAUUAAGAAGGGAAGGCGGAAGCUAAGGCAUUAGGAUAGGAAUGACAAGGAUAAGAACUAGACAGCUUCACUCCUGGCUUUUCAACUAACUGGCCAGGAGAGUUUACUUAUGACUUCCUUAGGACUGCAAUAGGGCUUGCUUAGUCACCUCCUUAACUCAUAGAAUGCUUGAAAACUAUCUUAAUUGUGACUUGCUUUCCAAAACCAAAACAGGAUAACUCAAAGGCUUGAUCACGGGAUUUGACUUCCUGCUAAUAAUCCUGCUGUAUAACCCCUCCGCAAGGUAACCUAUCACUCCGGGCUUACCUUCAAAAAGUGUAACGACCUAGAAGGUCUAGAAAAUGACUAUUAGUUAGACGGAAUAGUCAUUUCAUUGAAACUAUUACGAGGACUGUACUAGAACAGGCUCCCAUGGAACACAACUACACCUCGGCUUGCCUCUCAGUUGAAAGAGGAAGAUGCCAUGAGACUGAUCUGGAUAUUCCCUAAGUACAAGGAAAGAUCUCCAUUAUAACCCAACCCUGUACGUACCCUUUUGCCAUCGUAUCCCGUAAGCCCUUCUUUCUUUUAGCCAACUCCUUCUACUUCAAAUAGCUCUAUCCACUGGGACGGACUUUAAGCCUUUCUCUUCUUUACUUAACCUUGCUCCGCAACUGAAAGGGGUCGGUAGACUGACUUGCUUGCGGGACUAAUGCUAACAAAUUGCUCAACUACUCGCUUCAAGUCUCCCGCUCUCUUAUCUUGAAUCAGUGUGCACCGAGGGAGUCAAGAUUUAUAGAGUCAGUGUGCAGUGGCCUAUUUUUCAUUCAACUAAUUCAUAGUUCACUUAGCCCUCUAGCUAAAAGCUAUCAGUCAAGUUAGGAGGAGGGUUGAAUCUGUACUUCCUUUCCUUCCUCCAACUUCUUAGCCCCGAUCUUUGGAAUUUCCUAGUGAGGGUCCCGAUAGGGGCAAUCUCAAGGAUUCGUCCUACUUCUAGAUUGAACCACCUGAAAAAGGCUAUGGUGACGCUUUCUCACUCAUUGAUCAGGAUUUUUUGUCGUGUUAUUCGCAUUCUGUUUUGGCUACUCACGAAACUCUUUAUCCUUAAUAGGAAGAACUCCCUUUAGAGGAAGGAUACAAAGACCAAGCCUGUCUUUCUCUCUGAAAAAGGGCAUAUGGGGCAGGGCAGACAGACUAUUUUUGGGGACUAAUCUGCUAAUGAAUGAAGGAAGGAGAAGGCCUUAAUUGUCUAUCCAAAGGUCCGCCUUGGGUGGAAAUAGGCGAAUCAAGUGGGUGGGAAUGAUCCGAGCCCCCUAUGUCAAUUUCAGUAAGGUAACUAAGGUUUACAAUAAUUAAUUUCAGUAGUGCGUUACCUUGCUGCUCUAUCUAUCGGGUAAUCAGUCUCUUGGUCAAAAGCCGGUACCUAAUUCCCCUGCUGGUGGGCCGAUCCUCGUCUAGCGGUGGGAACCGGCUGGUAUGGAUCAAUUGCUUGCCCUGUCUCUCUUCUGUUCAACCAUCGAGAAUCCGCAGUUCUCUUUUUGGGUGGAAUAAUAGGCGAAGGAAUCCGCAGCUAUUGAAUCAGCUGUUAGAAAGGGACGAAGUGGCUUAGUUGAACAUAGUGGGACGGAAGGUUCAGAGGCUUCCCGUCCCCGGAUGGUGUAAGUCCUUCUCUUACUGUUGAAGAAAGCGAGAACGGUAAGUACUAAACUGAUAGAAGACUCCCACUUGUGGCUAAUAGUCUUUAUUGUGGGGCACCUUUCAGGUUCUGGAGAAAGUGCAUUCCUAGGCGGUAGCUUUCCAAGAGAGCCCUACGGCAGUGGAAUCGGCCGAUAAAAGAAACCUUAGGGCUGGGAAUCACAAGUGGCAUAGAGAUCCUUAGGAGUACGGAGCAGUUGUUACGCCAGGAAAGGCAGGAUUCCGUCCCACACAGAACGAACUCUACUAAUGUCUCUGACUUAUUCCUCCCCCUGGCCGAAGGUCAAAUAAGGAUCCGCUUUAAAGGGUAAUAGACCGACCAGCCGGACGAGGACAGUGUUUUCGGGAACCAAGUGGCGCGCGCCUUAACUGUACCAAUGAGCGGUACGGGGCUUCGGAGCGAAGGAAGACAAAAUGACUGAAAUUACUUUCUUUUCUGGCGAAAGCAUUCCGUAAAAGGUGAGAAGAGUGCGGCCCGAAAUAAAUAAGUAGGGCGUCCUCAGUACUUUGGCUUCAAAAGUUUCGCUACGCACCUCAGUCCUUACUCUUUCGAGUAAGCAAGCGCUACGCCCCUUUGAAGAUGGCCCAUAUGGGGUGGGUUCCUACUUCGCCCGCUAUAACUCUUCUUUUGCUGCCGGCCUUCGAGAGCCUUUUUGGUGCAUCUAAGACUGAAAAGAGUGAUGUGAAAGAAUGGCACAGUCAUUUCUAUUCUCGCUUUCUUUCCAGCACGGGGAUUCGCCCGAACGAUCUUACCGCUAGCCAACAUUUGAUUUUUUUUUCAUAGGAAUGAAUUUAUCUCUUCGUCUUGAUGCCUGCUAUCUUCCUAAACAGGAGAGAAAGAAAGCCCCAACCUCUUCCUUCUUAUACUAAGAGUCAUAUUCAAAGAUAUCCCCACACCGAUAAUGCCCUAUCCCUUUAUUUAGGGACUACCUUCGAGGAAUUCCUCUCGCGUCCCUGUAUUGAUAAGAGCGCAUUAUCUAACAGCUUUGAGACCGAGGCAGCCAUCCUCUUGCCAAUCCUAAACAAAAGAAAAGCCUACCCACCUUCAUUGGAAGAGUCAGGGGCAUUUACCUAUCAGUCCUAGUCCUAAGGCGCAAUCGGAGCACUAAGCCCUUAUACUUACUGCUUUACUCCGUAAAUUAGACCUCCUUCCCCGGUGCCUGAUGGUUAUUUCGGAUUAUGUGCCUGAGUGGUCUCUUAUAACUAUUGAUUAAACCUCCUCGGGCAUUAACGUUGUCACUUCCUUUAUUUGAAAAUCAAAUAUAACAGAAGCCAAAAAUUCAUCAUCCAACGCCACUGUUCCAUGCAAGUCAGAUUCGAGCACCCUCGAUGUAGACUUGAUUCUGCAAUUCGAUUAGUAGCUGCAGAUUAGGGUGAGUGCCUAUACCCGCGGGAGUCGCUGUAUUUGCUAGAGCAAGGUUGUUCGCUAGCUCGAGCCAGGUGUGUGGUUCUUGAACAUUACAAUUAGAAAAGGUAAAAUAAUGGGACAGAAUUUCCGAACAUUUAUAGAGUAAUGUUUGCGGGGAGUCCGUAGGAUCCGGAUUUUGAAUCCUCUUUCUUCCCAAUAGAGUUGCAGAUUCGGCUCAAACUGCUCAAUGCGGGCAAUCUUUCUACCUAUUUGUUUGGUUAAGUUGAUCUUCGGGAAGGCCGAGCCCCCCUUCGGUCCUUCUUGUAGGUUAGGUUGUUACGGGAAAGGGCUUCGGUUGAGUUCUGUUUCGACGGCUUUAGUUUGGAGGAUCUGAAAGACUUCUGCCGGUGCAAGCGAUCUCAUAGAUGGAUCACAGGGAAUAACUCAAGAUAGGAAAGCAUUAAUCGCCGGCCGGCAAACAAGCCUUCCCGUAGUCUUUCCGCCUAUGUCCCUUAGGCUCUCUGUCCUGCUCCCCGAAAGAGGAAAGCAAACAAGCCACCAGCACUUCAAUCAGUAAAGCUAGCCACUCAACUCGCUCUCUUCAAAUUCCCUUUUACAUUUUAUUUCAGAUCCUCCACCUAGCCAAGUAGGUCUCAAAAGGUUUACCCCGCAUAUGCUUAGUCGCCGCAAGCUCCAUAUAGGUUACUUUGCGGGCUACUGAAUAGAAUCUUCGGUGAAAGGCGUCUACCAUAUCGGCGCAACUAUUGAUCGAGUGCGUGUAUACCACGUGAAUGCGACACCCGAAAGACUAGCAGAAAAGUGCUUCAGCAACAAACUCUCAUCGUGAGCAGUGUCUCUGCUGGCAAUUUCGAAAUUACUAAUAUGCUGCUCUCGAGAUCUCCACUUCCAUCAUACAACCGAAACCAGCUAAGGAAGGAGCGAUCCAUAAGAAUCGCCUCGAAUAGCCAUAACCUCAUCUCGCCUUCCACCGCACCAGCAAGAGGAAACCGAAUUAGAGCUGAAAGAAUACUAGAGCCAUCGUAGGAGAACCGGAUUCUUGACCGAUCGACUUUUGCCCGAGGUCGUUAGGUCGAAUAGGCUAGGUUUACGAAAAAGAGACUAAGGAUGGACAUGACAUGGGGGAUGAAAUCCACCGCUUCUAAAGGAAAACCCUUGUCCGUUACCCAUUGACUUCAACACUUCAAUUACGAAAAACCUUUAAAUUAAAUUCCCUUUGACUUCGACUUAACCAACCGCAAGUAAAAGAGCUAGCUGAAAAGCCUGCUUGGCUUGCCCUACUGGCACCGUCCCUACAAGAAUCCCUAACCCGUUUUAGCUCCUAAUACAGAGCUCUAAGUUAUUGUUAUUCUGGCUUGUGUUCCUUGGUCCGUUGCUUGCUAUUCCUAUUAUAGAUAGAAAAGCUCCUAUUCCGCUUCCUCUUGCGCCUGAUCCUCUUCCGCAGUUCUUGCUUCCUUCACUUACUUACUUUACUACCUUAGAAAGGAAGAAGCUUAACUCAUACGAGCCUCCUUGCAUUGUCGCUCUACUCUUUUCUCGCUGUCUGGGAGCUCCAUUCAUCACCCCUAUUCACUUACGAAGCAACCGGACUCGCCUCAACAAGAGAAGCUGCAUCCCGUAGGGGCAGAAAGAGAACCGCUGCUUUGACUUGACUCUCCCCUGUAACCCUUUGCCCUCCUGCCUGCAGAUUGCCACAAAAGACGUGUGAGUACGCCCCUCAUGCUUUGCGUUGCCAGCUUUGCUUUGUCCAACCCCUUUGACUCCCUGCACCUAUAAAAUAACUAUACCCCACUUAAGGCUUCUUUCGAGGCAGUUAAAGACGGUGGAAGGACAGCAUUCAAACAAUUUAACAAUUGCCUGUUGAAAAAAUCCUACGUUAGAACCAGACUUUCAGCAAUCCCAGAAUGCGGGUGGCAGUGGGAUGUCCUAAAUCCCUUUGAUGAAUCCCAUCCAUGGAAUUUCCGGAAGAGUCACUCGCCAGAGCAGAGGAAGGGAAUUCGGAACUCAAUCACCAAGUUAACCUUCCCAUUGUCUAUGCCAGCAACAAAGGAAGAGGUGAGCUACCAACUCGUCACCUCCCCUCUCGUUCCACUUCUGUCUGUUCUUUCAUUGUCAAGUGUCGGACUCUGGUCUUUUUGGAACAAGAAAGUGUUCCGUGAGUGAGAUUUCCCCUCUCUUCUUUAAUCUUCCCAAAGCUCACUAAUUUAGUGAGAGAGGCUCUAAUGCUGCUAGCGACGGGUAGCUACUAGGAAGAGUUUACGGUAUGAAAUUUCUCGACUAUAAAAUUUCAUAAGAGAAGAAAGCUGCUAGCAGAGGGAAGUUCUACACUUUUUUGUUUGGAUUGAUCGAGUGUACUUUUUCUUUUCGAGAUUGGCUUGGUGUGCAGUGGAAAGAGGGUGGAAAAGAGUGGUAAGGGGGAGGGCGGCGCCCCUUGCUGUAGAAGAUCGAGGAACGUAGUGUCGGACUAUUAUACCACUUAACCGGCUUUUCUUUGGGAGAGGUAAGGUAUAGAGCUUGAAUCCCCCAGCUGACAUCUUAUUCUCCAUUGGGCAUCCUCAUGGCAUCUACUUCUUUAAAUAAAAGAUAAAAAGCUUUUGCCGCUCUUUCCUUGGCUUUCUUUCGCGUACGUGUGCUCGUCUAUCCUUUAAUAGAUAGAAAGAAGCAAUUUCUCUGUUCGAAAUCAAGCUACAGGCCAUCUUUGAUGGCGGUAGAACAGCUAGCAAGAGGUGCCCAGGUACCGUUAACAAGCUCAUGAAUUUUACUUUGAAGCGAACCGCGGCCACUAAAGGAAAGGCAUUGGUUCGCUUUCGUUUGUGGAAGGCCCAUGCAUGAAUGAAGUGAGGCUGCAUCCCAUUAUCUUGUUGCCUGAAUUUGAUACCAAAUGAGCGAGCGGAACUACGUUGCUGGCGAAAUACGCGAGUUCGGAAAGUGGUUACACGAAGACACUUCACUUGUCUGACUUCAACGGGGACUCCGUUAUAAAAGAAAAGAUUGAACGUUGGGAUAGAGAGUCUGAGUGAAUUGAAUGAAUAAGACAAAGUGAGAACUCGACUCUUACCUUAGAAACGAGAAAGGUGGAGCUUCUACCAUAUGCUUUACACAUGCUUGGCGGACUAUCUGAAGUUCUUCCAGCUAUAGAAGUGGAACGAAUGAACUAUUCAUAACUACUUUACGUUAGCGGAUGAGUUCCUUUCCUCUACCUUCUCGUACGAGUUUCAAUCACAAAGACUUGAAGAAGCGCUACUUUUAUCGAUUCUGAGAUGAGAAAGAAGUAGAACGAGAGUGGAUCGCGGGGGAAUGCUUACCGAUUAGUAGAUUAGAAGCAUAGUCCUAGAGUGGCGAGAUGUAUCCUUAUUACUAUAAUAAUAAGAGGAGAUUUCUUUCUAGACUGGUUCUUAUCCCCAGUCUCUAAGACCGUAUCGUAGAAACUUAACUGCAUUAUUUUGCUUGUCUUCAUUGGCAUCACGCUAUGCCUGGUGGUUUGAUGUUAACUUUCCUAACUUACCUAUUCUGGGUGCUGUGGUAUGCGUCCUCAUUCACCUACCUUCGGAGACUGCAAUCAAUACAGGGCUACAGUCUUAGCUCUUACUGUUAAUCCCCAGUUUAGCAAGAAUCUCCUGUUCUUAUUCUCGAAGAAGUGGACAAAUCUGCUUUGGCAUGAAGAGAGGAUGCAUAGGAUUUAUGACUAGUAAUCAGUUAAAUUUGCAGCGUAAACGGUCUUAGCAUGGUUAGCACUUCCCUGUUAAUGCGUAGGCUAUUUUAACUAAUCCGAAUCUGAAAAAGAGGAGGGGGUUUUUAGGCUGUGACAAGGUCCAAAAGAGAUAAGUCUAGCGGGAAGAAGGGCGAAUCCUUCCAUAAGAAGGAGCAGAGGCAAAAGGCGGCAGGGGGAAUUUUGCGAAGGGCGACCCCUUUCACUAAGGGGAAGGGAUCUGACCAAACUAUUUAGCCAAGAGGAGAGCACGCCGGUCGCAAGAAGAAGUAGUUUCAUCUUUGUCUUUCAUGACAAGGAGUCUUUAAGAAUCGGAUUGUAAAGGUAGCGUUUCGGUUCAGAUGAAGGAGUGUAAAUAGUAAGAGGAGAACCAGCUUUUCUCUUUCUCUAGUUUGAUGCCUUCUUUUCGUCCAUCAUCCGUUGAAAGAGGCACCCAAGAGAUGGGUAUGAUUUUGGUUCAAGGCUCAAGUGAUUCACCAACGGAGUCUAGGCCGUGUGGUUAAGGGGGCCCUUUUGUGUAGGGUACUUUUAUUUAGAUGGCUGAGCAGCUUUGUUCGGAAUGACUAUGACUGGGCACGAUGAGUAUGAGUGAAAGGGCACUUUCGAAGUCGAAGUAGCAAGAUCGGGUUGACAGCCUAGGUUCCCUUAGCGGUCAGACUCUUUCAGGUAGAAAAAUUCCCAAAUGACGGAGUUCAAAUCUCAGUCACUAGCUUAUGAGUAAUAUGCUUAACACUAGCUUGUCGAACAUCCAACUACUUAAACUGGGACGGGACCAAUCAUGUUGAUUGCCUAUCCGACCCAGCUCUAACAACUGGUUUGGUUUUUGAAUCACAGACUUUAUCCUCUCAAUCGGAGAGGCCUCUAGUCCCCAGUUCUAUUAUGAAAUCCUAUUUGUUUUUCUUACCAAGGUAGUUGACUUGCUUACUUGUUAGAGUAAGGAAGAAAGAAGGCUUACAGGCAGGGAGUUAGAAGAGGGGUUUUUCCUUAUUAGCUAGCUUCGCCGGACUGACUUCAGGUUAUUCAGGGUUAUGACUACCUUUAACUCGCUCACUCGGGCGCAAUACCCAUCCUUCUUGAGCUUCCCAUUAACCCAUUUAAUGCGGAUUAAAGGAUGAGCUAGCCCUCCUUAAGACAUAUAGGUUUCAAAACCAGUUGCGGAAGAGCAGCUAAGCAUCAAAAGAUAGGAAUAGAAUAGCUGAUCUUUACUCCUCUGGGCGCUCUAAAGCUAAAGCUCCUCUUCUUGUCUGGAAGGGAAUUCACGCACUCGGACGAAGGCAUUCCAGUUCAAAAACGAAUAACUAAUAUUCGGCUAAACCUCGUGUUCCAACCAAGUCUUACAACCAAUCGUAUCAUCCUGAUCACUGAUCAACGGGAUCGGAUCCUGGGUACAGAAAAGACCCUGAAUAGCUUAGCUAAAGGCAUCUUCCCACCUUUUAUCCUCUCUGUAGCUACGCAGAGAGUCUUCUUCUAUAUGGCUAGCUCCAAUUCCGUCUAUUUGGAAAUGGGCAAGAUAAGCCCUUACUCGUGCUGCAAUCAGGCUUGGCACCUUCCCUUAUUCUCCUUCCUUUUGGUAGUGCUAAGUAAUCGAAAAUCUCCUAUGGCUAUUAAGGAUCGCCUUUCACCUGUGUGAUGCAAUUCUUUAGCGGGGAAGUUUUCGUUAGCUGGUAUAAGCCACCCUUCUGUAUAACUUGCGCCGGGAAGGAAUAGAAAGCGGGGAGAAGGUCUCAGUGUAGUCGAUGUCCUCUUUCAGAGUGAACCCCUUGGCGACAAGCCUGGCCUUCUAUCUCUCAAUCUUGCCUUUUGAUUCCCUAUUGGUCUUAUCAAUUUACACCCUACGGGCUUGGCUCAUUUUCUUUCUCUGGGUUUCAGAGUGAGUGGGUUAAGGAGCCUUUUUCCGCCUUUCGUCUUUCCAGUCAAGCAGUGGUUCCUGCUCUUGCCUCUCAUGAAUCUACUCGACCAUUCCGGAAUGAGUGAGCUUUUGUAUCCGUAUUGAAGAAUCCGGUUAUCGACUCGGCAGCUAUGGAAUCUAAGCCAAUUGAAUCAGCAACCGCUGGUACAGUAAGCGGUGUUCAAAUAGCCGUUGUUGGGAUCUUCUCCGCUGCUAGCUCUUCUUCUUACUAGGUUCUGCUUCCUCAUAGUUCUCUUGAACAUGAUUCUCUCAUACGCACUCCUAUUAAAGGAGUUAGGAAGCCAAGAUCUGAUCUGAGUAGUUCUGGUAGCCAAUGAGCGCUUGUCUGGUAUCGAAUGAGCUCAAGUAGUUGAGUAGCUAAAGGCUUUGGUUGCCUUAGAGGAAAGUCCUAUCUUCGGAUAGCUUCCUACAGACUUCUUCCCUUAUUUAUUGAAGUUCCUGGAUUGUGUGAAAUAAGAAAAUAGGGUAUUGACUUAUUUAUUAGCAGCUCAAGCUCCAUUUCAAAGGUGAGGAGUGAACCUUCUGGCUGAUUCAAUAUCACCGGAGUCUGCUCAGGGUUCCAAACCAGAAGCGAAGUUUCUUUUCUACGAUACACUGGAAUCGGGUCUAUCUUAAGCGGGAAGAAAGCCUACCGACGGGUAUGAAGGGAUUCGGCAUUCAAGAACUCCCUCCCAGCCAUCCUAUCUUGUGUAAAAAUAGCUUUCAGGCCAGUACUCUUUCUCUCCUGGAAGCGAAGGCAGGAGCAAAGCCUAUUGAUUCACCUGUUUGCUAACCUACUUGUCGGCUACCCGCACUCUGUAACCAGAAUAGGGCUCUGGAGUUCAUACCACCCGGCGGUUCAUCAGAAGUCUGGAAGGCGGCGCCUAAACUAGUCGGACUUGCUUGAAUCGAUACGCUUACCGGACUUCUCUGUCUAUUCAAUUGAUUUUGUUGCAGACUCUUCCCCCGGCCCAGUAGUGGAGCUUGACCCUCGCCCUACGCCGAUUGAGAUCUUUCCUUGUGCGGUACAGGUAAAUUUUGCUCUUGAGGGAAUACCCGGUUCAUCGGAACUUCAACCAGAAGAGGUAGGCUCGGGUUCCUGGUAUAGGUAUAAGAAAGCCAGUAGAGCUAAAUAGAGGUAGACUUGACUUCUAUGCGUACUGAGCUUCGGUGCUAAUGCUUCCCGCAGGGAUAAACUUUCUUAGUCAGACUUCCUUGAUAGGUGAGACUUCCACGAAAGCACUUAUUAGAAUAGAAGAAUCUUAGUAUGCAAGGCCUUCGAUCUAAAGGGAGCUUCGGUGUGUUCUUUGCUUUUAUAGAAGAUCCUCCGCUGCUGCUAAAGGAAAUGGUUCUUAGGUCGGUGAAACUGUCCCUGUAGCUAAAGUCAAGCCAGUUCAUUCAUUCAUGGCAAUCGGUCUAGUAAGGAAGAAGUGAGCUGUAGCCUUAGUCUUAGUACGCGCACUAGAAGGGGCUACCGAAUGCGCCAGUGAGACAAUCAAAUCUUAUUUGUGUGCCGCGAAGGGCCUACCCCUUGAAAAUGGAAGGGCAUGGAGAAGCGGAUUCCUACUUCUUAAUAGAAUAGCUUGAUCGACCACCAUCCUUAUUGACCUUCCCUCGGGUUGGUAUGCUUGUGUGUCAAGCAAUCCUGCUUCGGUAGCAGACUUCGGUCAAGGAAAUCGCUUCAAGCAAUGGCUUUGGAUCGACCUGACUUCUUAGAGAGGAAAGCCAGUAACUCUAGAGUAGAUAGAAAGAAAUAGAAUCGAGUACGACAGAACCAGUAGCUUUGAGCUUGAGCUUGAACUUCAGCUCUCACGACCCAGCUGCUAUUGAAUCCGCGUAAGGAGAUGCCGAUGAGGGUACAAUAAUAGAGAAGAGAAAAUAAUUAGCUUUGGUUCAGAGCUUGAAUCAUAAUAUCCUUCAGUCACUCCAGGUGAGAAGUUCGGCUAAGCCGGAAAGAGUUAGAUCCUCUUUGAGAUGAGAUGCGGCAAUGUCCUAAUCAAAGCAGGCGCAAGGUCAAUGAUUUAGCUCAAGGCUCUUCUUCUUGAUAGCAUGGGUCUCGGAAGGCCCUCGCUCUAAAGGGGCUGCUUGAUGGCAGCUAUCCUGCUCUGUCUUAGAUAAUUGGAAUGGAAUUGGUAAGGUUCGACAGACUAAUGUUUAACACCUCCUGCUUUCAUAUAGAUGUUUUAUUCUCUGACCGCCGGGGAUUUAUGAUUUAUAGAUCUUCAACGACUUCCGAGAGAGACUCAUGCUACGAUACGAGUAGAAUACAUAGGGGUCCUGGUAAACCAAAUCAGGUUUUUACGUAUACCUUUUAUUGGCAAAGUCGCAAUCCUGACUUCGGGAGCAGACCUUUUUGAGAUUCAUUCUUGCAUUCCAGUCUAACUAUCCUUUCUGUCUGUCACUGGAUUUCUCCACUACUUGACUUGCGACUUAAGCUAGCAGACUGAGCUUUACUUUAGCUUGAGCGAGAACGAAGGCCAGACAUCUCUUUUGAACUGCUUGACUUCGGAUCAGAAAUGAGUGAAUUGAAGUCAGUACCGCAUCCCAUACCUGAGUUCACAGUCGAUUCUCAAAAAGGAAAAGCAAUAGCAUCGUUUCGUUCCAGUGCCCUAAGAGUCCGACACUAAUUGUAAAGAGCCCCCAUAACUAUACAGUCAUACGGACUACGAACUAUUAACUCAUUGUCCACAUCUAACUGUAGAGGGGUAAAUGAAUAGCUACCUGAUUCCAAAAGGCUAUUCACUAAUACUAAUAGUAUAUUAGUCAUUUGAAAUUGUUCUUCUAAAUGCAUCUCAUAGAUCAACCAUAUAUACAUAUAUAUUCAAAUUUAUACACUGUGAUUUUAGAACCCUGAGAUGUACUAUAAGAUCUAUAUCUCACAUGCAUAUUACCAGCCCUUAACGGUGUUAUAGUUAUGGUCAUUGUCAUGCUCAUAUUCCGACAUCUAAUGGGAGAUAAAUGCCUUGGGGUGAGACGGUCUCCGAUAAAGCCAGAGUUAAGAUGAUUGUUGCUCAUCGAAAAGGGGGGGGCCAUUCAAAGCUCAGUGGUAGCACUCUACUUCGGUACUAGGCCUGACUAGAUGUUCGGAAUCUGAUGACCAGCCCGACUUAGACGACUAAUGCCUUCUCCCAACCUCAAAAGUUUUUAGGCAAGAAAAGAAAAAGCGAAAAAGAAGCAACUCCUUGAGCGCUAGGAGAGGGACCGCCUUAGGAUGGGGAGGAGGAAUACGAGGCAAUUAAAUGGUUUUUGGUUGUAUAGCAUAAAAGUGACAAAAUCGCUUUCUUUUUCGAUAGAAAGCCCCAAAAUCCAUGUUCGUCUAGUGAAAAAGCCAGGGUAUGAAAGAGCUACAGCAAAGACAAGAUUGAAUCAUAUUAUUCCGUUCUUGCUUUCCUAUUCAAGAUGGCUUUACAGCAGGUGUGCUGACUUGACCCGAGGAGAUCCGAUAGCUUGUGCUUCCCUGCUUACUUUUUCUAUUACCUCAACUGCUUUCGACCUGCUCACUUAGAAUGAAGAUAAAUAAUGGGCUAAAAAUCAACUAGAGUAAGUCGACAAGCGAGAGACCCCAAGACAGAAUUGGUCUUUUCUACUUUCCUGCUCUUGCCUUGUUAGCCUGGUAAGACGAAUCUGUUUACUUCUUUAUAGUUCUCUUCCCGACCAUACGUCAAAGUCCGGCAAUUGAUCUCUGCUGUACCUGGAAUCCAAGUAAUCCAUCCGCGAAAGGGACGAGACGUACGGGAAUGAUUGAUUCCAUAAAGAGAGGGCUUGCGAGGUCCCCGCUAUGGCUUUUCUUUAUUCCUUUUGUGCCGUCAUGACGACUCGAAAAGACAAUUCAUGAUGGUUUAGGUUUAGCCUGUUCUACCCUCUCCCGUUACUGAAAGUUCAUCUUUUGAUUUCCCCGGAUAAGCCUUUCGUCCGGUUUUCUCCACGACUCCCGCUCCCUUUAAUGCUAUUAUUAAUAUAUAACGACUGAUUACUUCUCGGAUCCAUUCAUUCCAUCUUCGCCUUAUUGGAUUGGAAUUCUUUUGAAUCAGAAAAGAAGAUGGGAUCCUAUUUCAUUGCUUUGGGCCGGUAAUAAAAUAUUAAACCGAUUGACAAUCAUCUUGGUGAUGACUUAUAGGUAUAGGUCACAUUACACAAGCUAAUCGGUAUGAAUUGACUAAGGUCGGCAAGUUUCCUCUCCUGGAAAGUUUGCUUAACCAUGUUGUACAAAACAAAGAAUGGUCUAAGGUGUGAAUUCUUCCAAGAGUAGGAGGGCUCACAGUAAGACCGGGUAUAGCAGUAAUUGGACUUCAAUAGGCUAGGGCAAGUCAGUUUGAAAGCAAGAGUGUUCCCUAGGCGAUACGAGGUAAGAGUUUGCAGGCCAAUUCCCUAAUUCCCUUAUAUACAGUGAUUCAAUAAAAGCAAGCACAAGCCUGUGAGAAAGCUUUUUAAAGUAGGAAUGAUUUUAGGCAAGCUAAGUCCUAGGGAAACCCUUUUGGAGUGUUUUAAGCUCAUCUAAUCCUUUUGGAGUUCUUCUACCUGGGAAGGCUAACAAUAAUAGAUGGAUAUUGAUUUCCAUGAUAUUUUCUUUAUAUGGUGGAAUACUCGAAUGAAUAUUUUUUGAGGACUCCUAACAAAGGCUUUCUGUCCCCAGGUCUAACUAUCUUUCUUUCUUUGGUAGGUCAAGGGAUAGUUGUGCGGGGGUGGCAAUAGUACUUCGUUCGAGUGCUGCUUUAGUGAAGGCAAUUGAGCCUGGUAGCGGCCGCUACAAUUGUAGCGAUAGUCGGGCAGCAAGCGCCGGUCCUAGCCCUAGCCGGAUGGGCUAUCCACUAUGGUUUCGGAAAGGAAUAGGGAUAGAAAGGAAGGGAGAUGAAAUGCUCAAAGAAAAAGGAAUUCUUUCAGAAGCUCAGUCCGGAGUGAAUAAGGAGGGGUAGUUUGCAACUUCAGUAGUGAACUUUCAUUCAUCCUUCUUUGGAUAAAUUGAUAAUAGAACAGAACGAGUUCUAGCGAGUCAACUGAUUUUAUAACUUUCAAUAGGCAGUCCGCAAGACUGUGAAAGCGAAGGAUAAACUUCUUUCUUUGAUCACUUAUUUUAUAGGCUGAAGGAUAAACUCCAUCUAUCUAGUAGUAAACUCAGUCUCUGUAGGCGGCGAAGCCUUACUUUACUGUUUACUGUACUUUAUUUAAGUUGGGAAGUCCUCAUCUAGUAGAACUUGCCUCUAAGCGGAUAGUUCUCAUGGUUUCAAUCCGUCUUGUCUUUCGGGUCCUCACCAUUUCAAGCCAGUAGGAGUCCGUUCAAGUCAGUACUCACUUCAGGUAGUAUGUAAUAGUCGAAUAGUUGCUCAGGAUGGAUGGUUGCUUGCCCUGUCAGAAAGCUAGGCUCUGUCGAAGGAGAAAGCGAAUCUCAGGCAACGUUCGAAGCUAAUCGUUUACCCAUUGGUCACCUAUACUAUAUAUAUAAAUGGAGUAUAGAAAGGAAAUCUGAUCGGUUUCUCGAAGAAUCCAAUUUUGUUUUUGUUGUUGCAUCUUCCCCGCCCGAUGACUAAGCUAUUUAGCCCACUUUUUAAACUGUACCAGCCACUACUUUUCCCCACUUUCAAGAGAAAAAAUUGUCAAUGGCAGGUAGGUAAGUAAAUGAUUAGGCAUCCCUAGAUGAGAGGGACAGUCUUUCUCAGGCAUGAUUAUCCGCCAAUGAAAACUAGUAAGAACCCUCCACUAGAAGAGAAGCAAGUGAAAGAAAUAAAGGUUGAGAAAUCCAUGGUUGGGGCAGGGGUUCAUGCAACCAAACAUUAAUGAAUUCAUUUGCAUUCCUCUUCGGGUUCAUUGGAGUCUCAGGUAAGGCCUAGAGAAGGGAGAGGAAGCAGCGCUCUGAACUCAUUGAUUCAGAGACAAUAUUUGGUAAAUUGCAGUGCUUGCCGAAGGCGAGGUAUGCUUUUAGGAGUGAGAGUGAACAGCUUUCUUUGCUGAGUUCGCAGCGUACCCACCUUACUGAGUACGAGAGACCUCCGCUCGAGAAUAGGAAUUGACUCUUAUUAGAUAACGAGAAUCGAUGUCUUUGACAUCGCUGAGAUAAAGUCCUUUGCCGAUGUUGCAGCGGGACUCCCCAUCAAAGUGAAAAGGAGAGUUAGAUUCCGCCGAAGAAAAAACUGCUGAAUGGGAGACUAUUGAAAAUAGAAAGAAUGACAUAACCUAAUUCGGGUGUUAUGGCCUCGUCUUUUCUUUUUGUUGUGGUCAUCUCUUUGUUUGGAGAGAUCCAUCUUCCUAUGGUUGCCAGGUAAGACUUCGAAUUGGCUUAGCGCGUAGUGAUCUAUGUGCUUAUGCCUUCAAAACCUUUCUUUGGACUUGAUCCUUUCACUACGUUUGGAAUGGAUCGCUCAUGUGAACCCGAGGCCUAGAUUCAGUCUUGCUGGGCACGGUUUUGAUUCAUUAGCCUCAUAUGAAUGACUGAAAUCAUCUGCAUUUGCCCUCCUCGAAAUCAAGAGUGGAGCUUGCAAGUGCACGACCCAUCACCCCGUCAUAAUAUCUAUUGGAACUAGUCUUGAGUCGGUGCAACCGCGAGUGGAACUGAUCGAAGUCUCAAAUCUCUUAUUUUUAGAUUUUUAGUCCAAUCUGGUGUGUACUAAUGAAUUUAGUAAGUCCUUCUCCUAUCCAAAAAACAAUAUAAUAUAAACAAGAAGGAAAAGGGAAGUCCUAAACAGGUACUUCCACACCACAUUGAAAGAGUUUCGUGGAGUAUAUAAGGCAUCCCCUGAUCUUUUUUGAUAUCACGACUCUUGCUUCACUGGGAAAUCAAAAAUGUGACCUCGUCUUCGUCAAGACUAGUGCCUGCUGCUUGAAGGGGACUGGAAGAAUAUCUAAGACUAUUCUAUUACCUAUACCUAAUCGAUUCACACGGUAAAUCCAUGCAGGAAUGGAUGAUUACGCCAAACAAAUCUAGUUCGAACUGACAUAGCUAUACGAGAAUAAAUUUUAUAAUAGGAUUUUCGUACAUAUUUUGGGUUCAAAGGCGAAAAACGCAUUUUAUAGCAGCCGAAAAGAACACCGUUCGCCAAUUCGGCCGAAAGCGCAAAAGAGCGAAAUCCAGGCUAGGCUGCCAAUUGCUAUUCAAGCAUCUCAAACCAACUCUAUCUGUAACGAUUGCUAUUUCAUCUCCAUGAAGAGGAGCUUAUGCUAAAGGAACUGGUGAUCCCUAGCUUGAGACUCAAACUCCGGAAGCCGACCUUCCAACAUACAUUGUGUGAGAAGACUAUUCCACAUCAUCAGCCAAUUAAGCUUAAGCGGCAACCUUGAAAGAGGGUAACCAGCAUCAAGCUCUAAGGAUGGGUAUUAUGUACCAGCUCGAACCCCUGACGGCCUUAAGUUGCAUCUUGAGUCUUAUUAAUUAAGAAUGGGAGGUGAAGACUCCCGCCGCCUUAUACCGGCUUGGGGCGCAAAAGAGAGAGGCCAACAAUAAACUAGAACAAUUCAGCUGAUUUCUCGACAUUGACGACAACCUACUCUUCGCGGCAGGAAUUCGCCUAGGAAUUUCCCAUCUCUGGCUCAAAUAAGCGGAAGCAUAACCAUAACCUAAUUGCGAAGCAAUACAAUAUGCUUCAAAGCAGCCGUUUGGAGAUUGACAAUGGAAGUUAAGUUGGUCAAGACUUCUCUUCCUGUGUAGAAUUCAGAUGAAACCGUCAAAACAAUCAAUAUAGAAAGACGAGUGCCAUCUCCGCUUACUAUUGAAAGAAAGACAGGUGGCACCCACCUUUUAUACUCGGGACUUAUUCUAUAGGCUAUUCUCUGGGGUGAAUCUUCUUCCUAAUCUCUUUAGAACUGGGAUUUCAGCCUUUAACCCUCAAGCUAAGCUUAUUCGCCCUUCUUGAAAACUUAUUCGAUAAAACUCUUCCCUAAACUGACUAUUCUAGUUAUAAGGGAAGCCUUAAUAGAAAGGAAUUCCAGAUCGGUUAUUACAUCUACGCUGACUCUACUAGACCACCUUUGGCUCAUUUUAUUGAACUUGGGUCUGACUGCUUUACUCAAAAACCUUCUUUAUAACAGAGCCUAUUCUCUUACUCUUCUCUCUAAUGUCAAAUGAAAGAGUUUACUAUACGACUUUACACUAACAUAAAGAUAACUACUUCUCCUAGUCUGACUUCUUACCCUUUUCCAUUAGAAAAAGACUAAGGGGAGUACUAGCAGAUUUAUCCUCUUAAUCUCUCUUUUUAGUGAGGAAUUUUUUACAAUGAAAGAUAAUUUGCUUAGAAGCUAGAGCUAGGAGAAGAUAGGACGGUUGAUAUGCCUAAUCUAAUCCCUUUUACUUUUAUUUUAGUUAGAUUUAGGAACUUAACUCGAAGGUAAGUAGUAUGACUAGGAGAAGAAGAUCAAUCUAUUGCUUAUGUAGCUUACCCCUUAGACUUUUUUGAAGAAGGUUCUGUUACUAACAUGGUUACUUCCAUUAAUAUAUUUGGGUUCAAAGCCCUACGCGCUCUACGGCUGGAAGAUUAGCGAAUCCCUCCGGCUUAUAUUAAAACUUUCCAAGGCCCGCCUCAUGGCAUCCAGGUUGAGAGAGAGAAUUUGAACAAAUAGGGUUGUCCCCUGUUGGGAUGUACUAUUAAACCUUAAUUGGAGUUAUCCGCUAAAAACUACGGUAGGGCAGUUUAUUAAUGUCUUCGUGGUGGACUUGAUUUUACCAAAGAUGAUGAAAACGUGAACUCCCUGAGUUUAUUAUCUUAUUUUGUGCCGAAGCAAUUUUAUAAAGCACAGGCUGAAACCGGUGAAAUCAAAGGGCAUUACUUGAAUGCUAGUACAUGCGAAGAAAUGAUCAAAAGAGCUGUAUUUGCCAGAGAAUGGGGCCUUCCUAUCGUAAUGCAUGACUACUUAACAGGGGAUUGAAUACUAGCUUGGCUCAUUAUUGCCGAGAUAAUGGCCUACUUCUUCACAUCCACCGUGCAAUGCACGUAGUUUUUGAUAGACAGAAGAAUCAUGGUAUCCACUUCCGCGUACUAGCUAAAGCGUUACGUAUGUCUGUUGGAGAUCAUAUUUACUCUGGUACCGUAGUUGGUUUAAUGCCUUAGGGUACUUUAGUUUAGAUAGCUAUUCCUAGAAAGAAACUAGGCACACUCGCUACGAAAAAAUCUAUAUUAGCUCCCGCUGAGUCAAUAAUUGCAGAUUCUGAUUCAAUUGCUACAAGUCGGUACGAAGACAAGAAGACGAUUCACCUCUAGAGAAAUCUUAUCUUCUUAUCCAAUCUUAUUAAAUAAAUUUUAUCUUUAAGCCAAGUAAGCCCUAUAGGGAAGAGAUAAAAGCUUAUCCCCCACAGGGCACUCUCUUUAAAUUACAUAUGUUAGCAAUCACGGCUUAUUCAACAAUCGUGAAUUGAAUUAUCCUUGAGUCAGGCCUAAGCCCGGAUUCGCUCUCAACUAUUGCUUCUUAUGCCCUAUAACUCUAAUCAGAAGGAAAAGCUAUUGGCUUGAAUCGCUUCGCUCCUUAAAUAGCAGACAAGACGCGAUCAGUCAAUACCAGGCAAAGUCCUUACUUACCAGACCGACCGGUCUCAAAGCGAGAAAGACCCGGCGCAUCUCUUCCUUAAUAGCCUAAGGCCGGCGAUAAACUAUAGGCACUUUCCUUUCUCUCUUCUCUUAGUAUCUUAGAGCUAACUUCAGAGACCAAAAAAAGGAAUAUGCAUCGUCAUAAAGAGCCUUAUUCAAUAAGCAGGCGAGCUCCGAUUAACUGCCCGGCAAGACGCGCUCCUUAAUAUAAUAGCCAUAGAGUCAAUACCCGGCGAAAGGCGGAUCAUAGAAUCCGCUGUUUGAUAGGAAGAAUAGGCUGUAUAUGUUAUAAACUUCAAGGAUGACGGACUUCUAUGCGGAAACCGGAGAAGUAGGUACCCGAAGUUACCGAACAAACUAGCCACUCGUUGAUUAGCAGCCACCGUGAGGCCUGCUACUUUCUGGGCAGAGGAAAGGCCAAUUUGUCUCAAAUGGUAGAAUCGCUGCCAUUGGGGAAAAUGCUUUUGGCAAAUCGUGUACCCCGGCAGAGAAUUCAAUUAUGAUGGAGCUCGCUCCGUGAGAAGAGACUAAUCUGUGAAAUGACGUGGAAGUUCGAUUUGCUUUUCUUUGUGGUCUACGCCCUACCUUUCUUAAGGUAAGAAAUAAGAAACAACAUUUGAAUCUUGGUUUUUACUUUUUGAAAUGUAGUUAGUCUCGUAGGAUAAAGAAGGUGUGUACCUAUGUCCCGAAAUCCGGAUGUGGGACCAUCCGCGAGCCUUUUCCUUGAGUUAGCGUUGAGGGCCCAGGUUGUCUGCCCCAUUGGCCUAUGGCUAAGGUGCAUUUUCUUUUUGUUGAGUUGUUGUAGAAGGGGGUUUGGGGUCUAUCACCAUUUCGGUAUGGUCUUAGGCGGGUUCACCGCUUUUUGCUAAGCUGAGUCUAACUGCUGACCUCCCGUCUCAAGUCCCUCUUUUUCUUGCAGGAGCGAUGUAAACUAUUAGGCUAGCCUUCUAAUGGAAUGGGCUAAGUUACCUUUCUUUGUCUUUAUUUAGUUUCCCUGCUCUCUUGCAUCCAGUACUGGCUUUCUCUUUCAGGUAGUGAAGUGUAUACCAUUAUUGAUGGUGCACGAGCGAUCGUCAUCUUAUUCUAGCUUUCUUUCCUUUUUUGGAAGCAUUCCCGAUCCUUUCCUUCCCCUCUUUCCAGUGGUCGAAGCCGGCUAAGGGCCAUUUCCUUUGCCAGCCUUCCAGUCUUAAGUAGUCCAAUCCCCUUUUUUCGUAUCGUAUAGUGAAGAACUGGUUUUCCGUUAGUCCCUUAUUCUGAUACUGAGAAGGGGAACUUCUUCCUUUAGGAGUUGGAAUCUCUGAAAGGAAGAAGUCACACCUUAGACACGGUAGGUAAGAUUAGAACUUAAAGGCCCUUAGACCAUUACACAAUGGAGCACUUGCUUACACCACUAGUUAGAGAACUGGGGAAGGGGUGCGAAAGAGUUCAACACUACGCUCAUUUCGUAGAUCUACGAUUUCAGGGUUAAGGAUUUUUGCUUAGCUGCUUAGCGAAUCCCCUUGCUUUUAUGAAACUUUUCACAUUAUCUUUGUUUUUCUCGAUGCUUUGAAUAGCUAUCCGGAUAGCAGAAGUGCAAUCAUUUGCGAAAGCUCUUUCUUCUCGCUCCUCUACUUGACUUGUAUUAGUAGGGCGAGUGGCUAUCGCUCCUCAAACUCUUCAAAAGAAGCCAUCCUUGCACCUUAUAAAUCUAAGACUGUUGUUUCCUUUAGGAGCGGAAAUGCCGACAUCUACUAUUCCAUCAAAGAGCCUAUUCGUCGUAAGCCCUUCUAGUUCAUCUACAUCAGCUAAUAUCGAAUCGCCUGUUGUGCCCCGAGAAUGGUCUGUUACGGGCUAUCAUUCGUAUCUUAAGGCAGUUCAGUUGAUCGAUCCAGGUCCAGUCCGCCUCUCUUCGGGAAGGAGGUCAAGCAGGGCUUCUUUAACCUUGGGGAGUUCUUCUGAAGCUAUGUCCGCUGACGAAGUUGGGGAGCUUGGCCAGUCUCUCUAUCGCCCUGACCUUCGAAAGAGGAUCCUCUUUUCUGGCACUAAGUUAUCCUUCGCCCGAUUCGACAUCGGAAGAAGCCCCACUAUACUAGAUUUAAGCAAUUCGGGUGUGGAUCCAUCAAUGGCUAGACGCACUUCACUUUCUAUCGGACGUCCGGUCGGUGGCAGGAAUUACUUAAAAGGCCUCACCUGACGAGCUAGCUUCGCCUGAGGCUCUUGUGGCUGCUGCGACUAAACUUGGUUGGUGCUCUUGCUUCGGUCGAUCGAAGAAAGAUGGUGUCAGUGACCAGAGAAGGUCCCUCUUUCUUUAGAGAAUGACCGUGGUCGUUUCGCUUCCUCUCUCUAUCGGUCGAGUGACUUUCACUUCCUUUCCAUUGCGACAGGAUUGAAUCAGCCGCUUGAAAGCCUCCUUUUCUUCGUUAAAUCGCGAGUUGGAAAGCUUUUUGGGGAGAUUUCCUAUAGCCUAACUGGAAGCGCCCACUGGCUUAAGAUCUUGUGGGCUUAGCACGCCCCUGUGACGAUCGAUCUUCAAGCAUUGGGCAAAUACAAAUAAAUAAAUGGAUGGAUCGUCCCCUUUACUUGAAAGGGAGGGCUUUCGUACCAAACCUGUGGCUGAAUGGUUAAAGCAUUCCUUGUUUUGACCGCAGCACCAUAUCUUGACCCUUUUCUCGAAUUGGUCCAUUUCGAGUUGGCCCACUCCCCUUCGACUGGUUCUCAAAGGAGAAGAACUGAGAGAGUAUGCUAUGCGCAGACUGACUUGCUGCUUGCUUUCUUUGAGGAAUUGUGGAGUGAAGGUUUCAGUCGAUUGAGACUCACUAUUAGUACUUAAUACCACACCUUAAUCAAAAUCAUACAUGAGAGGCGAUAAAUCGUCUGAUUAAGAAAGAAGGGGUCCGUUCCGUCUCUCACUAAUACAAGACGGGGAUAAGCCGGACAUGACCCCUGACUCGAUUCCCGUCUUCUCUAGUGGGAAUUCUGAUCCCGCUCAGUCAGUGAGGAUGUCCAUGCUCAGUAGCUUCUUCUCUGUCAGCUUCUUAACCGCGUGGGGCCUUUCCCUCUCUUCCUCUUUUUUAAGGUAACCGUCCAGUCUUGGAAGUGAGGGUGUUGCAAUCAUUCCAAUCCCUCUACUCGUCUAUUAGCAGUUUCCUGAAGCCAUUCUGCUAUCAUUCUAGUUUUUAGUAAAGUGACUGCCGUUGUUGAUGUUCGAUCGUUUAACUCGCAGCCAAGGAAUGUUCCUGAUCUGCGAACAGAACCAAAGUCGUACUCUCUUUUCUAAAGCAAGGAAUUUCCUUUCAUUCAUAAGUCACACAAGAAUUUCUCAAGGUUGCAGGCAAGGCUACUAGAGAAGGGGUGAAACCAGCCAAGGGCGGGCUCCAAGGCGACAAUAGCAAUCGAGUGGCCAAGCGUUGAAAGAGAGGAAGGGCUAGCGGCAAAAAAGAAUAAGAAUAACAGAAGUUCUUGAGGGGAGAUCUUUUCACUCUUUCUCGAUGCAAUAAUAGUCAGUCUAGUGACUUCUUGAUAGCAUUGGUCUCGGAAAGCCCUCCCUCGGUACCGGGCUAAGGAUAGAAGCGAUUCCACCAGAGUGAAAUUCCGUACUUAUCCCAGCUCUCAAGGAAGAUUCGAAGUAGGUACCUAUGUCAUGCUGAAUUUCAAAGUAGUUUUGAGGUAAUCGAUGGCAUAUUGCCUAGAAGCGUCAAAGACAGUGAUAUAUUUCGGUGUCGAUAUCGGCUCUGUUCAUCGACCCGACUCUGUUUAUCUCCGACUAAACCGACUCUUUGUCCCGAUCCGGUAACUACACGGCUUAUUGUGGUAAAAGAGAAAGUCAAACUCACAACUCUUUUUCCUUUUCUCGUGCACUUUCCUAAGGGCUACGUACUUCACUCCAUUACCUUCUAUUCGAACUCUGACACUUCUCUCAUUGUGAAAUUUCUAUCUAAGUCCUGACAGCCCCUAACUUUGGCAAAGACUACUCGCUCGCUUUAAAAGCAACUCCAUUGAGUCCUGUCAGAUCGUUUAUAUAUAACCUUUAUUCAUAUAUGACCUUAGAAAGGUUCUGAAAGAAAGAAGAGUUCCAUUCGAUUAUCCGGGCUCAUUGCCUAGUCCCUCUAAACUAUCUAAAGCCUGGGGAUUCUCCUUACCAGAUGAUCUCCAGCCUGCAUUGUGCCCCUCUCGGAUACCCUGCAGGGUCGACGUAACUCUUACCUAGGUAGACUGGCUAUCCAACUGAAUCGAGAGCCCAGCUCCCACUACUUCUUCGUAAGUGAGGUGAGGUACUUCUUUUGAAUAGGCAGGGUUGUUCUAGGAUGACUCAAGUGACGAUGCUGACACCAAGGUUGCUUGCAAAGCAUCGGAUAUGCGAAAGAGGGAGAAUGUGCUACAUCGGAUAUUGCUGUAGUUGAUGAAAGAGCUGUAGUUUAUGCUAAAGCAUCGGUUACGAAUGACCCAAUCUAUCUAUGGUAACCACCCUUACUUUUAGUAGAUGGAGAUGCGCACCUAGGAAAGACGGAUGAAAGAGAACCUGCCCUAAGAGAUUGGCAUAGGCCUGUGGGCCCGCUGCGGUAGAAGGCCUUUGCUGGCCUGUCGAUCUAUCCUGAUUAACUUACUGACGCUAUUUCUGACUAGAGAGAGGGCUUAGAUCGGAGAGGAGCAGCUCUUUUCUUUUUAACAUAAAGCAGUGAUGAAUGGGACGGAGCUGCUACAAUCAAUAGCUUCAGCUGCUUUAUGUAUUGGAGCAGAGGUGGCAGUUAGCAGCAGGAACAGGACCAGCAACUAGGGUUGUUCACAGAGCAGCCGUCUUUCCGUCUCAAGCGGAGAAGACAUCAAAAGAAUCUUUAUCUAUGGCUCUACCAGGGAAUCCUAGUUAGUUAUAGGGUUCUGAACCAGAGCAGAGAUAGGAAAAAGCAUAUCCUAUGUAUACUGAACCUGAGCUUGCUUACCAUAGGACUGCUAUUGGAUAGGUUUACCUUUUUUCUCCAACUCGCUUAUUAUAGUGGGAAGCUCGGCUGGUAAGGGAUUCUAUUAGGAUAGGACUCCAACUGUAAGAACUGGCCUUAGUACUGCAGCAAUUGGAAGGAGAACUGAAAAGACCUUCGACCAUUUCAUUUGGUAGCACGUUUAGCUCGUUAUGAAACGUAUUGUUAGAACUAGAAGUGUUCUUAGUCCAGGUAAGAGUCCAAUGCUAGAUUAAUAAUGUAAAAUAUGAGAUAUCCUAAGGUAUUUAAUUGCUUGUUUGAUAGAAUAAGGAGGAAAGAAGUCUGUUUCCUAUUGAUAGUGGCACUCCCACAGGCUGGCGGGGAACUCCCAUAUGGAUGGCUGAGAAUAAUUCAUAUAUAGGCUAUAGGCUUGAAAAGAGUGCUAGCUUUCGUUAGGCCUUUCUUUUCCUAAAGAUAGGAUCCCACCUUCCCUAAUUCUGAGCAAGAACAUCUUAUUCAAUUCAACAAGUGCUACCCACUAAUCUAAUCUAAUCUCAGUCGAAUGCUCCUUAAGUUUAAGGGGUAAGUCCUCAACGAAAAGCCAUAACUCUUAACCGUUCGGAUCCCAUAUACGCAUGGGCUACUUCACUCCUUUCUUUAUUUCACGUUUUCUCGGGAAAAUUAGUUGCAAAUAGAUUUCUGCCCAUAAACGGACAUUCAAAUCGAUCAACUCGCUAAAACCCCGUAUUUUUUAUUGCAAGUCAAUUUUUGCCUAUAGACGGACAUUGAAAUCGAUACAGUUUCAUUUUCCCGGGAAUUUUGCGGAAAGAUUGGCUGAAUUCCUAUCCCAAGAGCGGAUUCUGAUUCAGUAGUUUUCUUCAGGUUGGGUCGGCUUGAGCUUGAGACAGAUGUGGUUCUUCUGGGUCAGUGCCAAUGGGAACUACAUAUCAAAGAGACCGGGUUCCAUUUAGUUCCAAAGACUGGUAGGGAUAGGGAUCAAUUCAAUCGACCUACUUCCCCUUACUAUAAAUAUAAAUAGUAAAACUACUCUGUCCCAUAGUGAGAGUGGAGUUCCAAGCGACCAUUUUCUGCCCAGCUUUCUUUCCUUUUGUGAAAGCAUAUGACAUAGUUAAAGAAAAAGAAGAGAAUGCAAGCGGAACUUCAUCCGUAAGCGGUGUUGGAGGACUAGCAAUUGAAUCAGCUGUUGAUGCAAUAAAAGCUGUGAUCCUAGGAGCUGCACAUGAUGGGGAAUAGCCGGUGCAUCGAUAUUCUGUAAGUGUUCCAUAAACCGGAGGAUUUCCGCUUUGAGAUCUCAAAGGAGCUCAUCUGAAGCCCCUCCCAGGCCAAGUUCCCCCACUGAAAAAGCUAGAGAAAGGUUGCUCAGCCCCGACUUCCCUAGGCCCUUCGUUCAACUCGCCUUUUGGCGACUACACUUCCUACCCAAAAUAAUAGAUAGAAAUAUCGCAAAUAGAGCCAUUGCAACACCCAUCAAGGGAGUAGUUCCCCACCCCGGAGCUACUUUACCAUAUUCUGAAUUUAAUGGUUUCAAUAAAUCACCUACAACAGUUCGUCUUGGACCAGAUCUAGAAUUAUCCUCAACGGUUUGCGUAGCCAUAAAUACUAUUUUUUAUUCAUUGAGAUCUGUUUACUUUGUAUAUCAUUCCGCUGUAAAUAUAAGGAUCUUAUCCUAUAGAUCUAUUGUGGUCUUGAAACUUUAUAAUUCUAAUAAUGGAAACAGCAACCCUAAUUGCCAUCUCUAUCAGCUAGUUAGCUAGCCGCUCUUUCCCUAGUCUUAGCUAGUCUCAUUUUCCUUCGGCUUCUUGUAAGGCUCACUUCACUUCUGGCUUCUGGCCAGGCAUAGAAUUCUUUGACCGGCUUUGGUCGAGCAACCGGAACGGCCACUGCCUACAUAACUUGCUCUUUUCAAGUAUCAGACCUUCUGUAGUUAUCGGUCCUUUUUUAUACAGUUCCUGACAGGUGCGUGGCCAGCCCUGAAGUAUUCUGUGAGCCCAAUCUGUUUCACCCCCGUUCCCACCUCUUGAUUUUGCUCCUUCUAACAUCUCGAAUUGAGACCAGUCACCCUCCUUUUUUUGGGGGAAGGUACUCCCCUAUUAGUCCUUUCAGAAGACUUUUGUCUUCUUUGAUUCUGCUAAUCCAUUCCCGAAGAUUUUCAACACCUAUCUCCGAGGUAAUUUCUAGUUGUUCCAUAAUUAGAAGGGCUACUGAGGAGUUUAUCUCCCUUUGCUCGGGAAAAAGUUUGGUCAAAGGACCUACUCCUUUCUCCGAUUCUUCUCGAACUUGUUCUCUUAUUAAGGCUUUAAUUUCCUCUUUUAGUUCGGAUACUUCAGCAGGGUGAGCUUCCUGCGCCGGGGCUGGCGCCUGCGGUAACGGCGCUUGCUCUUGAGCCCCCCCCGGGGAAGCGACCGGAUUAGCGGGGGCGUUUUGGGCGUCGGGUUGGGCAACCUCUUCACCCUCCUCAUUAGGAAAGGGUUCGCCCAGGACGUUUAUAUCAAAAGACGUCCACCCGGAGCCCCUACUGCUACCCCCCAUUUCACUUCUCCCUCCCACUGAGAUGGAGUUGGAUCCGCCGGACGAUGCAGCAGCUCCUUCCGGAUCCAUCAUCUUUAGUUCCCAACCAUAAAUGAAAAAGCCUACUAGAAUUCCAAGGAAAGGCAAGCCAAGCAUCGUCAAUAUGUGACGGAUCGUUCUACCGGAUUUAAGUUUUCCAAAAUAAAUAGUCAAAUCCAAGUCGAGUACCAAAGACAAGGAAUAGAAUAAGGUGAAUACGCAACACAGUAUAAAAAAACGUAUGGCAAUGUCUAUAGCUCUUCUGACCGAAAUCGGAUUUCCUUUUCGUGCCAUAUGCGCACUUUAUUUACUUUUUCCCCUUUUUUCUUCCCGGUUUAAUAUUUGUUCUCGAAAGUCUUCGUUUCCGUGUAAAAGCAAACUCUCCAAAUUGUUAACCAAGCAAGGUCGCUUACAACACUAACGGAACACUUUCUCAAUCUAUAAACUGUAAAGAUGCGAUGAGAUAUGAUAGAAGAUGUUCUCUAUAUACAACACUAUUUCAAAGAAAUUCAAUU